CUAACACAUGCAAGUCGAGCGGUAACAGGACUAGCUUGCUAGUUGCUGACGAGCGGCGGACGGGUGCGUAACACGUAGGAAUCUGCCCGAUAGUGGGGGAUAGCCCGGAGAAAUCCGGAUUAAUACCGCAUACGCCUUAAGAGGGAAAGCAGGGGACCCGUUUCUUUUAUAAGGAGCGAACCUUGCGCUAUCGGAUGAGCCUGCGUCGGAUUAGCUUGUUGGUGGGGUAAAGGCCUACCAAGGCGACGAUCCGUAGCUGGUCUGAGAGGAUGAUCAGCCACACUGGGACUGAGACACGGCCCAGACUCCUACGGGAGGCAGCAGUGGGGAAUAUUGCACAAUGGGCGCAAGCCUGAUGCAGCCAUGCCGCGUGUGUGAAGAAGGUCCUAGGAUUGUAUAUCUCUUUCAUUGAGGGAAAAGGGAGUCCGUUAAUAGCGUUUAUCUGUUAUGUUGUUACAUAGUACAUACAUAAUAAAACAUAGUAUGAUCAAAAAAUCCAUCAAAAAACCUAACGUAAUUGCCACCCAUAAACAGAAAAACGUAAAGAU
rnacentral:rRNA from 1 species